UGUAACAGCAACUCCAUGUGGAAGUGCCCACUGGUUCCAGUGGGGCUGCUGUUAUCUG
ensembl:miRNA